GGGGUUGUUCAGGGGCGCAGCGAGUCUUUUGGGGAUUUGAUUGAUUCAAAAGUUGAUCCUCAGAUGAUGAAGUCUAGUGAAAAGCCCGAUCAGUGAUGGAUGAUGCUGAUCUGUGGAUAUAUUGAACUUGUUUGAUGAAAUGCUUCGGAAAAAAUCUUGUUAAUCGGAAUUCAUUUGAUUGCGGAUCCCGUAAAGCAAUAACAAUUUUGGGCGCAGCAUGUAGGCAUUUUGA
rnacentral:misc_RNA from 1 species